rnacentral:rRNA from 1 species
UAACCUGCCCAAGAGAUCGGGAUAACACCUGGAAACAGAUGCUAAUACCGGAUAACAACAGAUGAUGCCUAUCAACUGUUUAAAAGAUGGUUCUGCUAUCACUCUUGGAUGGACCUGCGGUGCAUUAGCUAGUUGGUAGGGUAACGGCCUACCAAGGCGAUGAUGCAUAGCCGAGUUGAGAGACUGAUCGACCACAUUGGGACUGAGACACGGCCCAAACUCCUACGGGAGGCAGCAGGU